GUUUCACGAUAAGCAUAUCACGAUUAGUGCGUGCAACAAAGCAAACCAAAUGGAGGUCAACACAUCGAGCUUUUUUAGCACUGAUGCGGUUGAAUUAAUGAGCUACACAACCAGUAGAA